CGAAAUGCUUAUGCGGUCUUUAUGCAGUUAUUUCAAAAUCUGGCACCGUCGAGAAUUUGGGAAGGUUGUUCUUUGGGUGUUCGAGGUAUAAGGCUGAAAGAAGUCGGUGUUGCUGAUGAUUUGGUGGGUGGUUUCGGAGAUUCGUUGUUGGAGCUGCAAGACAAGGGUGGUUGUGCUCUGAAUAAUCAAAAUGCAACUGUGAAGAAAGACAAAAAAUAGUUGCUUUAGUGUGUACUUAUUGGCUUGGUUUAUUGUGUCAGUUUGUGUAGUUGUGCUUAAUAAUUCUGCAAAAUCUUAGAUUUGUAUGUUUCUUUUGAAUUUAUGAAUGAAAUCAAAUUAUUGCGUA